GCAGUGGUCAGGCUGCAGCCUCUGAAGCCUCUCUGGGUCUGUGUCCUGGAGGAGACACCUUCUCCCAGGCACCCAAAGCUGUUCCUCUGCAGACCACAGUUCUAUCCUUUGGCUGCAUGCCCCUGUAUUGGAUGACUGAUGAAUAUGUGGGAGUGCACACAGUGUGACACAGGUCCUACCUCCUGCUAAAUGGAGAGGUCUGCAGAGCUGAACCUCCCUCUGUUUCCAACCAAACUUGUCCAGCGAGGUUUUUGCAUAAAAGAACACAGUGGUAUCAGUAUUUUGAAAAGAACACUGGGAAGAGAGAAAGAGGCUGCAGUGUACCAGGAUCUGACCUCACGCUGGUGACCACAAGAAGUUUCCUUCUCAUCUCAGGAACAUUUGGGUGUUUUCCCUGUGUCAGAGCUUUGCUAGAAACACAGAGCUCUGUGAACCUCUAUUGAAAAUGGGAGAAGGAUGCCAAGCCUAGCUUACUGGUCUUAACUAAUGUUAUCUCUUAAUUGCUUCAUAAUCCCAACUAUAUGAGUGAUUAAUUAACCUUUUUUUUAAUAUGAGCAUAAAUGGUUUGAAGUGCUGUCCUCUUACCCUGGGAAGGGUUUUGUAGGACACAUCUCCUCGACGUGGGCUGUUGGGUAUGGAUUAUACAUAUCUUUACCUCAUUUCAUAAGCAAUUGCAUCCAAAUAGCAUCAGCAGCUGUUAAUGCAGCACAUCUCUGCACCAGGCAUGGCCCACCUGGAAGACCCCAAUGGCUCUAGGUGGUCACAGUCUCAUGUGAGCUUUGCCUGCCCUGCCCAGAAGAGAAAUGGACAGACCAAGGAACUGCUCAUGAGGAGACGUAGGCACAAAACCAGAUGCUAGAAAGGUAUUACAUCCUUGGUGGAGUAUCAGAGGAGAUUGCUCACCUCAUGCAAUGUGCUCAACAUGUUUUAGAUAUACCUUGCUUAACCUGAAAUCCCUUAAAGAAGAUGUACCUGUUGGUAAUAGACUGUACUAGCAAUAAAACUUGUUUUGUUCUCUUAAAUGCUCCUUCUCCCUGAACUUCCCCAGGACCACUCACGCCCAGACUUUUCCUACUUUCUCCUGUCCUUUUCAUGACUUUCUACAUUUUAUACAUCUAUGGCUUUCCCCCCAUUCCUAGAAAGGUUCAUCUCUGGUCCUCUCAGCCCCAUUCCCUUUCUCCUGUUAUUCUUUCCCCAGACAGCCUCUCCCCAGGUUGAGCCUGAU